rnacentral:rRNA from 1 species
AUCGAACGCUGGCGGCAGGCCUAACACAUGCAAGUCGAACGAGUGGCGGAGGGGUGAGUAAUGUCUGGGAAACUGCCUGAUGGAGGGGGAUAACUACUGGAACAGGUAGCUAAUACCGCCUACCACACGAUGUGCCCAGCAUGGAUUAGCUAGUUGGUGGGGUAACGGCUCACCAGGGCGACGAUCCCUAGCUGGCCUGAGAGGAUGAACAGCCACACUGGAACUGAGACACGGCCCAGACUCCUACGGGAGGCAGCAGUGGGGAAUAUUGCGCAAUGGGCGCAAGCCUGAUGCAGCCAUGCCGCGUGAGUGAAGAAGGCUUUCGGAUCGUAAAGUACUUUCGGUGGGGAGGCGUUACCCGCCCAGAAAGCACCGGCUAACUCCAUGCCAGCCGCCGCGGUAAUUC